AAUCAUUUCCAGAUCAUCGCAAUCAUCCACUUCUACCUUUUGAAGCCGCAAUAGGUUUUUGGCUAUGGAGAAUGAGAAAAGAUGCUUCAAUUUGUGACAGGAUUUUACUUCUAUAAUCCUUAAGUUGCUGAAAGAUUGAUCUUCUGUGAGUUGGCUGUCACAUAUUGUCUCCAAAUUGUUCAAAUCAAUAAGAGACAAUGACUCCAGCAAGGGGAAGACUUUACGACGAACCCGUCCAACUGAACCGACAAUAUGCAAAAUCUCAUAACAUCUUUCUACAGAAGAUGCUUCAAUCGUGGAUAACCUUCCCCAUCAUCUAAUUCAUGAACAACAUUCUGAACACCUUCAGUUCUUCUAGAUAGAGAUAUUCAGUUCUCUUCAACAACAGUUUCAUCCUAUAAUUCUGCAAAAGAAUGCCAAACUUUACUAGCCCCUGGAGCUUCAUCAAUCUUGAUAAUCCAGAUUUAACGGACCAGCUGCUCCACCACUCAUUUCCUAUACAUUCCUUACCAAUGGAGGAAAAAUAUUCUUUAGGUUAUUACACUCAAAUAUCUCUAAAUUCUUCAAUUUGCUGAAAGACUCGAAGCAAGCUGUGGUGCCAUAUUCUUCUCAAAUUAUCCGUCCACUUAAUAUCUAAUACCUCCAACCUAGGAAGUCGUACCUGGCAGUUAAAGAUUAAUAUACUAAUUAAUCAAUUAAUGGCAUAAUCAAUUGAUAACUAAAUUAGAGGCAGGUAUUAACUAAAUUCGAAGACUCAAGGAAAAGACAAAUUAAGUAUUGUGACUAAAAUUAUUUUUUUUAUAAAAAAAAAACCUUUUCGUCAAAGAGAGGAGGAGGUUGCAUUUCAGAAUGAAUGGUGUCUUCUGGUGAGCUUGUAGAGAUAAAUCUUAACAUAUUAGUGCAACAAUGGAUCUUCAGGUUUAGCAAUGAAGGGAAUUCAACAACUAAAUCUGAAUGAAUAUGUCCGUAUUGGCAAAGCUUGUUAGUUCUGGAAGAUGAGAGAGCUUGAGGGAGUGUAGUUUAGGAAAAACCUUCAAUUCAAUCAACUUUCCUUCAUCCCUUCCUAACCAUCCCGUGGUGUCGACUACCCCUUCCAUUGACGAACAAUAACUUAUCUCAAGAUGUUGGAGUUGCAAAAGACUAUUAACCAUAGAUACGAAAACAGAUACUUCAGACCGAUAAUACCAUCUCACAGUCACUUUUUGUUAAAUUUUGACAACAGUACAUUCCUUGAUUAUGAUCGGCCCAUAAUUUUUUGAUGUUUCUUAAAUGCGCGAGAGUUCAAUUCCUCUAACCUCGGAAGAAUAACCUGCAAAGAAAACCCGUACAUUUUUGUUCCUUCAAGUACAACCGUCCAGUAUAAUAUUCUUUUGAUGAUCGAAGAUUAAUGGUGAUAAUAAAUUAAUCAAUUAAUUAUUGAACAGAAAAUUAUCACCUUUGGAGCAGUAUCAUCAUCAGCAAUGAUUUCGUUGAAUCCCAAAGAAGUUGUUGGUUUCUCCCUGUCGGGUCCUAUAAACAAACAAAAACAAUAUAUACAUAAUUUAAUCUUUGUUGUUUUUUUUUUUUUCAAAAUUAAUUGAGGCGAAGUCCCAUUAUCCCACCAAUUCUUAAUUUCAACACUUACCAAAAAUCAUUUCCAGAUCAUCGCAAUCAUCCACUUCUACCUUUUGAAGCCGCAAUAGGUUUUUGGCUAUGGAGAAUGAGAAAAGAUGCUUCAAUUUGUGACAGGAUUUUACUUCUAUAAUCCUUAAGUUGCUGAAAGAUUGAUCUUCUGUGAGUUGGCUGUCACAUAUUGUCUCCAAAUUGUUCAAAUCAAUAAGAGACAAUGACUCCAGCAAGGGGAAGACUUUACGACGAACCCGUCCAACUGAACCGACAAUAUGCAAAAUCUCAUAACAUCUUUCUACAGAAAGAUGCUUCAAUCGUGGAUAACCUUCCCCAUCAUCUAAUUCAUGAACAACAUUCUGAACACCCUUCAGUUCUUCUAGAUAGAGAUAUUCAGUUCUCUUCAACAACAGUUUCAUCCUAUAAUUCUGCAAAAGAAUGCCAAACUUUACUAGCCCCUGGAGCUUCAUCAAUCUUGAUAAUCCAGAUUUAACGGACCAGCUGCUCCACCACUCAUUUCCUAUACAUAUCCUAUAGCUUUGCAAUUCCACAGAGACCAAAUCCCGCGGUAGAAUUUCGGCAUCCCGAACGUGUAUCUCCAAAGUAGUUAGCUUUGACAGCCCAUUCAAUUCAGCAAGACUGGCGUUACUUCCUCCUUCAACCUUCUCCCACUGUGAAAAGCUGUUACCAAUAUAUAGUUCUUCUAAUCGAGAUAAUUUUGAUAUGACAUUUGGAGCUAUCACCACAAGGCUGCUACAAUUGCUCAAAUCUAGCAACUGUAAUCUCGUCAAUUGUCCAAUUACAAGUGGCAACUCCUUGACAUCAGAAUCUCGGAAGCUGAGAAUCUCUAAUUUCCUUAGCUGUCCAAUUACAGUUAUAUCGUUCAGUCGGCAACCAUCUAAACAUAAUGUUUGAACGUUAAUG
rnacentral:lncRNA from 1 species